rnacentral:rRNA from 1 species
UACAGAGGUCUCAAGCGUUGUUCGGAUUCAUUGGGCGUAAAGGGUGCGUAGGUGGCGCGCUAAGUCAGGUGUGAAAUUUCGGAGCUUAACUCCGAAACUGCAUUUGAUACUGGCGUGCUUGAGGACUGGAGAGGAGACUGGAAUUUACGGUGUAGCGGUGAAAUGCGUAGAUAUCGUAAGGAAGACCAGUGGCGAAGGCGGGUCUCUGGACAGUUACUGACGCUGAGGCACGAAGGCCAGGGGAGCAAACGGG